rnacentral:tRNA from 1 species
GUCGGAGUGGCGGAACUGGCAGACGCGUACGGUUGAGGGCCGUAUGAGCCUAGCUCAUGGGGGUUCAAUUCCCCCCUCCGACACCA